rnacentral:pre_miRNA from 1 species
UUGUAAACCUGAGACUGGGGCAUAGAAGAGAACACAACAGAAGGUGUUCUCUUCUAUGCCCCAGUCUCAGGUUUACAA